rnacentral:rRNA from 1 species
GUCGACGACUUCACGGCUGCUUGCGCUGGUGGCGACUGACGGAUGAGUGACUAAUACAUCACAUCCCACCUUAUCGUGGGGGAUAGCGCGAAAAAGGCUGUGAUACUGCCUGUUAAGCCCUGAGGGGGAAAGCGGGGGAUCGAAAGACCUCGCGCGAUUAGAGCGGGCGAUGCCUGAUUUGGUUGGUGGGGGGGUGGAAGCCCACCGCGGCGACCAUCAGGUGCUGGUCUGAGAGGAUGAUCAGCCACACUGGGACUGAGACACGGCCCAGACUCCUACGGGAGGCAGCAGUGGGGAAUUUUGGACAAUGGGGGAAACCCUGAUCCAGCAAUGCCGCGUGAGUGAAGAAGGCCUUCGGGUUGUAAAGCUCUUUUGUCAGGGAUGAAACACCGGCUCUAACACAGUCCGGGAAUGACGGUACCUGAAGAAUAAGCACCGGCUAACUACGUGCCAGCAGCCGCGGUAAUACGUGGGGUGCGAGCGUUAAUCGGAAUUACUGGGCGUCAAGCGUGCGCAGGCCGUUAUACACUCAGGCCUGAAAUCCCCGGGAUUAACCUGGGAAUGGCGCCAGUGACUGUAUAUCUAGAGUGUGUCGGAGGGGGGUAGAAUUCCACGUGUAAACAUGAAAUGCGUAGAUAUGUGGAGGAAUCCCAAUGGCCAAUGCAGCCCCCUGGCAUAACACUGACGCUCAUGCACGAUAUGCGUGCGGAGCAAACUGAUUCGAUACCCUGGUAGUCCACGCCCUAUACGAUGCUGACUACUCGUUCGCGAUUUACAUCCUGAGUAACCCAGCUCACGCGUGAAGUCUGGCUACAGUAGAGUACAGUCGACAUGAUUCAGCUCAACGAAUUAACGG